UACGAAGGGGGCUAGCGUUGUUCGGAAUUACUGGGCGUAAAGCGCGUGUAGGUGGUGGGGCAAGUCGGAUGUGAAAGCCCAGGGCUCAACCCUGGAAGUGCAUUCGAUACUGCUUCACUGGAGUCCCGGAGAGGAUGGUGGAACUCUCGGUGUAGAGGUGAAAUUCGUAGAUAUCGAGAAGAACACCGGCGGCGAAGGCGGCCAUCUGGACGGUGACUGACACUGAGACGCGAAAGCGUGGGGAGCAAACAGG
rnacentral:rRNA from 1 species